UCUUAUACAUGAGCAAAGAAAGUGGCUUCUUGAGACAGAGUCUUUACCUGAUGAAGAUAUGUGAA
rnacentral:pre_miRNA from 1 species